UACGUAGGUGGCAAGCGUUAUCCGGAAUUACUGGGCGUAAAGCGUGCGCAGGCGGUUUUGUAAGCCAGAUGUUAAAUCCCCGGGCUUAACCUGGGAAUGGCAUUUGGGACUGCAAGGCUUGAGUGCGGCAGAGGAGACUGGAAUUCCUGGUGUAGCAGUGAAAUGCGUAGAUAUCAGGAGGAAUACCGAUGGCGAAGGCAGGUCUCUGGGCUGACACUGACGCUCAUGCACGAAAGCGUGGGGAGCAAACAGG
rnacentral:rRNA from 1 species